rnacentral:rRNA from 1 species
GAUGAACGCUGGCGGCGUGCCUAAUACAUGCAAGUCGAGCGAACAGAUGAGGAGCUUGCUCCUCUGACGUUAGCGGCGGACGGGUGAGUAACACGUGGAUAACCUACCUAUAAGACUGGGAUAACUUCGGGAAACCGGAGCUAAUACCGGAUAAUAUAUUGAACCGCAUGGUUCAAUAGUGAAAGACGGUUUUGCUGUCACUUAUAGAUGGAUCCGCGCCGCAUUAGCUAGUUGGUAAGGUAACGGCUUACCAAGGCGACGAUGCGUAGCCGACCUGAGAGGGUGAGCGGCCACACUGGAACUGAGACACGGUCCAGACUCCUACGGGAGGCAGCAGUAGGGAAUCUUCCGCAAUGGGCGAAAGCCUGACGGAGCAACGCCGCGUGAGUGAUGAAGGUCUUCGGAUCGUAAAACUCUGUUAUUAGGGAAGAACAAAUGUGUAAGUAACUAUGCACGUCUUGACGGUACCUAAUCAGAAAGCCACGGCUAACUACGUG